UCCAUCUAGCACAAAGCAGAAAGAAACAUUUCUUCUUUGUUAUGACUAAAAAUUCUAUAACAAAAUAUGGAGUUAUCCAAGUGUUACUGUAUCAUAGGUAACAACACUGAACUGUUGUCAAACUUUCAGCGGCGGUAUGGCGUGGAAUGACAAGCCUUUGUGACAUUGGGUUGUUCAGUCAGUAUUGCCUUGUGAAUUGAUUUUGCAGCCUGAAACAACCUGGAUUAGUUUGAGUUGUAACUCUGUCACAGACUGGGUUGAAGAUUCUGUGCACAUCACUUUUCUUCUGUCUGUUACCUUACCUGUCAGAUGGGAUGAUAAUUCUUGCCUGCCUUACUGGAGUGCAGUGAAGAUUCGGUAGCAAUUUUAGACAUAAAUUAUCACAUGAUUUUCUGAGACUACAGUUGGUACAAGACACAGAGAUGCCAAUGGUUUGUCAUCUCCAGAAAUAGAUCAUGCCAGUCCUUAGCAUGAUUUUUCACAGUUAGACAGCAAUUAUUUGCAGAGUAGUACCAGGCUAAAAAGGUCUGUGUGGUUGGUUGCUAUCUGUUAGAAGGAGGGAUGAAGAAACAUUUAGAAAUUGCUAGCCUCUGUUUAAAAGCUGAGGUGCCAGUUAUCACCUUCUUCCAUUUCAUAGCUCUACUAAAACAUAAGGAAGUAGAUCCUCUAUCCUCAGUCUUAGAACGCCCAUCAGCUUAGUACAGAGAUGUUGCUACAGGACUAGGAAAAUCAGCUGAAGAUCCCGUCCUUUUGGGUUGUUGUCAUUGUCAUGUUUUUAACUGUCAUUACAGCAAAAUAUUUCUUAAUAUUCUGAAUUCAUUCACAUCUGAAGACAAGAGUUCUGAGAGUGCACUUUUUAUUUACACCCCACUUACUGUGCGGAUUUCCAUACAACUUGAGUUCAAUCAAAUACCUGAGUCACACUAAAUGAAGAUUGCAAAGAGCCAGAGACAAAAAAGAGAAAAUCACAUCUGAAGGACAUUUCGAUACUUAACUGGCCUGUGGACACCUUCUUUAGUGCUAUCAAGGACACCCAAAAAUUAUUUUAUUCUUCAGUUCCUGGAAGGAUGAAGGAAAAAGAAACUAAAGGUUGAGAAUAAAGCAGAAAGUGACAGAAAGUGAGGAUCCGAGAAUCCAGUAACUAUAUAAUCAAAACCAGUAGCAAUUCCAGUGGACUUCUGUGGUCUUCAGAUCAAGCCGACCAUUUUGUGUCCUGUGAUUAAUAGGAUGAUGGGUCCCCAACACAGGACCUCUCAAUACACAGUAGGAACUGUGUCACAGGUUCUGAGUUACAAGGAUGAACCUCCCAGAAACCUCAAUGGGAUUUUCACUUCAUAAAAUUAAAAGAAAUUUUUACCAUAAAUCAUUAACACUUGACCUAAGAUGUGGGGACUGAGAAGGAACUUAGUGAAGAAGGAGAGAUGAAGACAAGAUACAUCAAAAGACUCCAAUUCCUCAGGCAAAACCAGAAAAUGUCAGAACUGAAGAAGAUGUGCCGAGACUCAUGACCAGAAGGUUUUCAAGCCGGAAGGCAGAAAAGGAUCCCUUUGUGGUUGAAGAA